AGAGUUGAUCAUGGCUCAGGAUGAACGCUAGCGACAGGCCUAACACAUGCAAGUCGAGGGGCAGCACAAGGAGCAAUCUGAGGUGGCGACCGGCGCACGGGUGAGUAACACGUAUGCAACCUGCCUGUAAGCGGGGAAUAACCCGUUGAAAGACGGACUAAUACCGCAUAAUACUAAAUUACUGCAUGGUAAUUUAUUUAAACAUUUAUGGCUUACAGAUGGGCAUGCGCAUGAUUAGCUAGUUGGAGAGGUAACGGCUCCCCAAGGCAACGAUCAUUAGGGUUCUGAGAGGAAGGUCCCCCACACUGGUACUGAGACACGGACCAGACUCCUACGGGAGGCAGCAGUGAGGAAUAUUGGUCAAUGGACGAGAGUCUGAACCAGCCAAGUCGCCGUGCAGGAAGAAUGUCCUAUGGAUUGUAAACUGCUUUUGCAGGGGAAUAAAGUACGGUACGUGUACCGUUUUGUAUGUACCCUUCGAAUAAGGAUCGGCUAACUCCGUGCCAGCAGCGGC
rnacentral:rRNA from 1 species